UUGAAAGGGAAACGAUUGAAGUCAGUCGUUCCAGCGGGAAAUCAACCUUUCGAGUGGGGGUUUUGGAGUUUUGAAGAGUUUCAAAACCUUUGAGAUUUCAAAAAUUUCGCUCUUUUGGUGUACUUCCUCGUGGGGUAGGUUAACAUCGAUUUUGAUCAUCAAUAAAAGAUUGGAGGAAAGUAGCUUCGAUCUUGUAUUGAAGUGUUAUUAGCUUUGGUAAAUGUGAUGAUUAGGAUCGAGGAUUGCAACGAAUUACCUCUGGGGCUAGCCGCCUGAUCUCUGAUACGUGGCCUUGGUAUCGAAAGCGUGCUUAUGGUAUUGAGGUAUUACGGUCAAAAGGUUAGAACGGAUCACAUCGUAAGGAUGUUGACGUA
rnacentral:rRNA from 1 species